rnacentral:rRNA from 1 species
GUUAGGAAUAUUGGACAAUGGGCGCAAGCCUGAUCCAGCCAUGCCGCGUGAGUGAUGAAGGCCUUCGGGUUGUAAAGCUCUUUAGCCGAUGAUUAUAAUGACUGUAGUCGGAAAAUAAGCCCCGGCUAACUUCGUGCCAGCAGCCGCGGUAAUACGAAGGGGGCGAGCGUUAUUCGGAAUCACUGGGCGUAAAGCGUGCGUAGGCGGCUUUGCAAGUUGGGAGUGAAAGCCCAGGGCUAAACCCUGGAAUUGCUCUCAAAACUGCAAGGCUCGAAUUCGGGAGAGGAUAGCGGAAUUGUCAGUGUAGCAGUGAAAUGCGUAGAUAUUGACAGGAACACCAGUGGCGUAAGCGGCUAUCUGGACCGAUAUUGACGCUGAGGCACGAAAGCGUGGGGAUCAAACAGGAUUAGAAACCCGUGUAGUCC